ACGAACGCUGGCGGCGUGCCUAAUACAUGCAAGUCGAGCGGACGGAUGGGAGCUUGCUCCCAGACCGUCAGCGGCGGACGGGUGAGUAACACGUGGGCAACCUGCCUGUAAGACUGGGAUAACUCCGGGAAACCGGGGCUAAUACCGGAUAACUCUUUCCCUCACAUGAGGGAAAGCUGAAAGAUGGCAUCUCGCUAUCACUUACAGAUGGGCCCGCGGCGCAUUAGCUAGUUGGUGGGGUAACGGCUCACCAAGGCGACGAUGCGUAGCCGACCUGAGAGGGUGAUCGGCCACACUGGGACUGAGACACGGCCCAGACUCCUACGGGAGGCAGCAGUAGGGAAUCUUCCGCAAUGGACGAAAGUCUGACGGAGCAACGCCGCGUGAGUGAUGAAGGUUUUCGGAUCGUAAAACUCUGUUGUCAGGGAAGAACAAGUACCGGAGUAACUGCCGGUACCUUGACGGUACCUGACCAGAAAGCCACGGCUAACUACGUG
rnacentral:rRNA from 1 species